GUAAUUUUCAAGAUGGCGACGGCCUGUAGGACAGCAUUUGCGGGUGUAAAUGUUUUUCACUCCUCGUUUUUUGCACCUAAACAGGGGUGCCCAGGAUUUCUUGCCGGGGAUGUGCUGCGAUCCAAAAUCCAGAAACUGGACAUAACUGGUGUGUUUGGAAUGGCGUGCAGGCACAAGCAUCCGCUGAAAUUCCUGAACCUGAUGACAGGAGAGAAGUUUGUGGAUGGAAUGGAUGCUUCAGAUGUAUAGUUUAUGUAUGACAUUGGCUAUGAUGACUGAUGUUGAACUGGGGACCUGAAAGCAAUGCCGGAACCAAACAUCACAACGUUUCUUCGCUAUGACAUUGCUAUGUCAGAAAAACAGUCCCGAUCUGAUGGUGGACCCCACAUUUGCAGUGCCAGUCUUUCAUGCCUAUGCUCGUAAUGCUGACUGUCAAGUCACUGAUGGUACCAGGUAUGUGACUGGUAGUGGGCUUGCUGACAGAGAACAGAUGGAGAGGUUGUUGUUCUUGUUUUUGAAAGAUCACAAAAGAGAUGACACCAUCUCAUCGUGUUGACACCCUCACCGAUGCCCUCUUACGUGGUCCGGGAGAAGCAAGGUAUCAAUGUGUAACAGGAAAUCAGUUAAGUAUUGUGAUGACACAUUUUUCAGGAUUCUUUUAAUAUAAUUUUGCAAAGAACAUACUGAUCUAUUUGAAACAAUCUAUGAAAUGUAUGUUCUCCUUCAUGUGUUAUAGCAACGGCAAUACAACUCUGUCAGCAGAAGGUCCUGAAGGAGGAAACAGGCAAAGGAGGAGUUCCAGGUUUUGCUCAUAAUUUUUGUUUAUAUGUAAUGAUCCUUUUCUGCUAAUUCAAUCAGAUGAAUUGGAAGCAGGGCUUCAGUAGCUGGCGACAAGGCUUUCUCCUACAGAGCUCCUCUUUAUGGAAUGGUUUGCCGAUGUGAGAGAAUCAGACUGUCUCAACCGUCAAAUAUAGACUGAAGACUUCUCUUCUGUCAGUCCUAUGGUUGAGUGUCGUCUGGCCCAUUUGUGGGAAGGUGAACAGCAAGUUACUAGCCCUCACACCCACCCAUACACCUUCACUUCCUAAAACAUGAAAGCCAUCUGAUCCUAGAGUCUUGAAGUGUUUACACCCCUUAUAGCCAUUAUGGUCUUUACCUGGCCCUGCUGGUCAUCUAUGAAUGUUUCCUGUUCUGAUUAUUCAUCAGUCUGACUAGCAUGCACACCAUGAACUGCUUGUAUUGUGCUUCUACCUCUGCAUUGCUUGCCCUUUGGGGUUUUAGGCUAGGUUUCUGUAAAGCACUUUGAUGCUGUUUCACAACUGCUGAUGUAAAAAGGUCUUUAAAAUACAUUUGAUUAAUUUGGGGAUGAAAUCCUUGCUGUGGUUUCAUUGACAAUUCAAUAUUUUAGUCAAACUCCCAACAUUUUCCAUAAGACAUGUUUGUCUACUUUGUGGGCAUUGCACAUGUAGAAGUCAGCACAAAACUGGCAGUGUGGUUUUAUUUUGUUCGGCAAUAGAUUUAAUUAGGCCUGUGAUUAUGCAGCACACGGUCGGACGUGGAAGUUUGGACCCGUAAGAUAAAGGAAAACCUCAGACAAGAGGAUGUUGUUCCUUACCUGGCAGGAGAGAGACGUGGAAACUCUUGCAGAGCAACAUCGAGUCGCAUGCACAGACUAUUGCUGUGCAGCUCUCCAGAAAAUCCAGGUGGACAUCGGAGAGAAUAAAAAAGCAGAUCAUCUCCUACAAUGGAGGGAACAAGUCACCUCAAUUCCCCCUAAGACUGGAGUACAUGGAUGUUCUCCAGCAAGACCAUCCAGUCUGGUCCCAGGUGUCCAAAUGUUUGGGGGAUAGUCUGCUCUGGGCCAAGCAGAGUGCAGUGAUGCUGCACAAGGUCCUAAACGAUAUCAUAACCACCAUCGAUAAAAGACUGUACUGUGCAGCCAACUUCAUCGACCUGGCCAAGGCUUUUGACUCUGUCAAUCACUGUAUUUUUAUCGGCAGACUCAACAGCCUUGGUUUCACUAAUGACCUCCUCGCCUGGUUCACUAACUACUUCUCAGAUAGAGUUCAGUGUGUCAAAUCGGAGGGCCUGUUGUCCGGACCUCUGGCAGUCUAUGGGGGUGCCACAGGGUUAAAUUCUCGGGCCGACACUCUUCUCUGUAUAUAUCAACGAUGUCACUCUAUCUGCGGUUGAUUCUUUGAUCCACCUCUACGCAGACGACACCAUUCUGUAUACAUCUGGCCUUUCUUUGGACGCUGUUAACAAACCGCCAGACAAUCUUCAAUGCCAUACACCACUCCUUCCGUGGCCUCCAACUGCUCUUAAAUGCUAGUAAAACAAAAUGCAUGCUCUUCAACCGAUCACUGCCCACACCUGCCUGCCCUACUAGCAUCACUACUCUGGACGGUUCUGACUUAGGUAUUUAUAGUUGCCCACAUAUUCAGUGUCUGGCUAGACUGUGAACUCUACUUCCAGACUCCUAUUAAGCAUCUCCAAUCCAAAAUUAAAUCUAGAACCGGCUUCCUAUUUUGCAACAAAGCCUCGUUCAUUCAUGCGGCCAAACAUACCCUUGUAAAACUGACUAUCCUACCGAUCCUUCACUUCGGCGAUGUCAUUUACAAAAUAGCCUCCAACACUCAGCAAAUUGGAUGUAAUCUAUCACAAUACCAUCCGUUUUGUCACCAAAGCCCCAUAUACUACCCACCACUGCAACCUGUAUGCUCUCGUUGGCUCGUCCUUGCUACAUUUUUGUUGCCAAACCCACUGGCUCCAGGUCAUCUAUAAGUCUUUGCUCGGUAAAGCUCUGCCUUAUCUCAGCUCACUGGUCACCACAGCAACACCCACCUGCAGCACGCGCUCCAGUAGGUAUAUUUCACUGGUCAUCCCCAAAGCCAUCACCUCCUUCCAGUUCUCUGCUGCCAAUGACUGCCAAUGACUGGAAGGAAUUGCUGGAAGGAAUUGCAAAAAUCAUUGAAGUUGGAGACUUAUAUCUUAUAUCUACACAGCCCAUCUGUAAAUAGCUCAUCCCAAUAGCUCAUCCCCUACCUCAUCCCAAUAUAUUUUUUUAUUUUUCUGCUCUUUUGCACACCAGUAUAGUAUUUCUACUUGCACAUCCUCAUCUGCACAUAUCACUCCAGUGUAAAUUGUAAUUACUUUGCCGCUAUUGGCUUAUUUAUUGCCUUACAUCCUUACUUCAUUUGCACACACUAUAUACAUUUUUUUCUGUUGUGUUUUGACUGUUUGUUUAUCCCAUGUGUAACUCUGUGUUUUUGUUGCACUGCUUUGCUUUAUCUUGGCCAGGUCACAGUUGUAAAUGAGAACUUGUUCUCAACUGGCCUAUCUGGUUAAAUAACGGUGAAAAAAUAAAUAAAAAAUGUGCCUUAGGGCAGCUAAGGACAGGCACCUUAUACAGGCAGACCUACACAAUGUAGGUUCGGUCAGCACAUAUGUAUAGGAGCACAGUGAUUCAGAAGAUGAAAGUGGUUGAGGUGUGUGUGUGUUAUAUAGGGACAAACUAUACACUGAGUAUUCAAACCAUUAAAAAUACCUUACUAAUA